CCUACGGGUGGCAGCAGUAGGGAAUCUUCGGCAAUGGACGAAAGUCUGACCGAGCAACGCCGCGUGAGUGAAGAAGGUUUUCGGAUCGUAAAACUCUGUUGUUAGAGAAGAACAAGGACGUUAGUAACUGAACGUCCCCUGACGGUAUCUAACCAGAAAGCCACGGCUAACUACGUGCCAGCAGCCGCGGUAAUACGUAGGUGGCAAGCGUUGUCCGGAUUUAUUGGGCGUAAAGCGAGCGCAGGCGGUUUCUUAAGUCUGAUGUGAAAGCCCCCGGCUCAACCGGGGAGGGUCAUUGGAAACUGGGAGACUUGAGUGCAGAAGAGGAGAGUGGAAUUCCAUGUGUAGCGGUGAAAUGCGUAGAUAUAUGGAGGAACACCAGUGGCGAAGGCGGCUCUCUGGUCUGUAACUGACGCUGAGGCUCGAAAGCGUGGGGAGCA
rnacentral:rRNA from 1 species